rnacentral:lncRNA from 1 species
GGCUUUUCUUCUCCCAGGAAGAAUCCAGAAUAGUUCAGACAAGCUUCAGGUCCGCCAGAACCGGGGAAAACAACGUGUAGGGUUUGUUUUAAAGGGCUUUUAAAUGGGGUUUGGGAGAUCCAGGUAGAUUAGAAUCUUGACUCUGCACUGGCUGUGCAAGACAGAAAUUCACCUUUCAAAACUUCUGUUCCCCAGUCUAUGCGGUAAGAAGUUUAGAUUAGCUGAUUUCUAGGGAGAUUUUGGGCAGGCAUGAUUCAGUUCCAUGAAGGGCUGUGGGACAGGACUGCACUAAGAGGUCCUAUAGAUUGGAUUCUUCAGUUCCCUCCCUUCCGCUGGAGAAUAGAGGAAUCUGCCUUCGCUGCACACUAGAUUUACCUGGAGAACAAAUGGAAAGCAGGCCAGGAUCCUGGGUGAAAUGUGGCACAUUUGAGGAGACUUCAACUUCCCUUGCCCUCCAGCUCUGCCUGGAUGGACUGGCCUAUCUCUGCUGGAUUCCCGAAGUGCAUUGUGUAGAGACAGCAACUCAGGUCAGGCUAAAAGCUCAAGCAAGCAAGCGCGCACACACACGCGCGCACACACACACACACACACACAAACACUCAGCUUCCUUAGGACAAGAUAAAAUCUUAGCAUUCCCCUCUCCCCGAUUAGGUAGGUCUCUGGGAGGACUAAGGCUUCAGGUGCAAGGCUCAGAUAACCUGCAGUGUCUCUCCAACUCUGGGAUGACAAAGACCUCACUUCCCUUUUCUGGUGUUCACACAACAAUGAGAAAGUACGGGUAGCCUGCAGAAAGACCUCUCCAUUCAUGGUCCCCCAGGGGUGUGGGUUCUGAGAGGUGGGACCAGCUGCCAGGCCCUUUCUCCAUUGGUUGAGUUCAGCAGGUAACCUGAAGCUUUGCUGAGAGGUGCAUAAAUAAAGAGUGAAACUAGUACCACCUCCUUGAAAUGGGCUGAGUCCCUCUUGCUCACCCUUGACUUGGAAAAACCAGUUUCUCUUUUAUUGUCUGUUACUAAUCUCUAUUCUAAAAAUUCAGCUCAAUUCUCAACCAUACUCCAAACUCUCUCUUUUCCAGCUACCUUUACUCCCUCUCCUUCAAUUCCACUUUCCUCUGCUUACUUUUUUUUUUUUUCUGACAGGGUCUCACUUUGUCGCCCGGGCAGGAGUGCAGUGGCUCAAUCUUGGGCUCACUGCAGCCUCAACCUCCCAGAGGCGGGGUUUCACCAUGUUGCCCAGACUGGUCUUGAACUCCUGAGCUUAAGCAAUCCACCUGCCUCGGCCUCCCAAAGUGUUGGGAUCACAGGCGUGAGCCACCGCAUCCGGCCUCAUGUUCUUUUUCAUUAAAGAGAGAAAUCAACUAUUCAGGACCGGCCCCCACCUUUCCUCAGGAGUCAUUUCUGUUCCGCACAGGCCUGCUGAACUGGGUGCUUUAUAUAGGACACUGUCAUCUCUCAAGUACCCAUCUUGGAGGGUACGGACCCCACAUGAGGAAAGGACCAACCACACCGAGCUCAGUUAUGGCACACACAGUGGGACCUAGACAAAGGGAGAGGGUGACCGACAUCCCAACUAGAUUUCAGUGGAGUGAAGUUCAGGAGGCAUGGAGCUGACAACCAUGAGGCCUCGGCAGCCACCGCCACCACCGCCGCCGCCACCACCGUAGCAGCAGCAGCAGCAGCAGCAGCAGCAGCAGCAGCAGCAAGAGUAACUCUGACUUAGGAAUAGAGACAGCCAGAGAGAAAUGUGAUCAAUGAAGGAGACAUCUGGAGUGUGCGUGCUUCUUCAGAGGGACGGGUGAUGGGCAGAUUGGAAAAAGCACCGCAGAUGGGAACCUUAAUCUUUCUUUUCUAAAAUUGAUGCUAUGAAAAUUUGCGUUUUCUGUAACUUGUAAAAACUAAAAGUUGCUUGUCUACUGAAAAGCCUCUCUGCCUCUAUGUUUUAUACCAUCGGAUGCCAACUCCCGGCCUUCUAAGCCACCUCCCCUUUAGGCUAAAACUGAGACAUGAACUUGAAAAAUUGACACUGGCUUCCUCUCUCUUUAGGGUCCCCAGGCAGGUGGCUGGGACACUAUUUGCAAUCAGCAAGGAACCCUGCUGCCCUUAGACUCCCCACAGAGCAAGCAGAACUUGCAGAAUGGGGUAAAAACACUCUAUUAAAGAUUUUUUAAACCUAUUUAUAUUGUAAUAAAGUAAAUGUAAAUAAAAUUUAAGUGAAGGCAGAUUGCAGAUAUUUCCGAUGCUAUACAAGAUAUAUCUCAUAGUAUGGGUGUAGAUUCUGCAAAGGUUAAUGCAGUUAAACAUAUUUGACACAUAAAAAUGUCAGAUCCAACAUUAAUCAUUCACCAAUUGUAAUUGCCUUUCUAUGGGUCUCUUCUCCCCAAGACAUAGCUUAAAACACCAGGCUCGGUAGAAAUCUGGGAGGAAAAAAGCAAAUAAUACCUCUCAGCUGUCAGGGUCUAUGAUACGCUUUGAUAGAUUUAGCACUGAUUUCAUUCUCUUUACAAUUCAGUGUGAUUGGGUGUGCGUGUGUGUGUGUGUGUGUGUGUGUGUGUGUGUGUGUGUUACUCCAUGUUUCUCCUUUUUAAGGAAGGAGAAGGUGUGGAACAAGAGAAAGUUCCUAAGUCUGAAGGAAGUCCAACCCAGUUAUGAAGGGAAUGCCAUCCACAAGCCUUUUUUAUAAUUGGCCCCUGCCUCAGGUAAAGGGGUCUCCUUUAAGGAGCCAGUCUGGCUAAAUUGGCAGAUUCUGAACAAAGCCUGGCCCUGACAAGUCUUCAGAAAAACCGGUUUUCACCUCCAGAAUGUGCCCCAG